rnacentral:rRNA from 1 species
GACGAACGCUGGCGGCGUGCUUAACACAUGCAAGUCGAACGGAAAGGCCCUGCUUUUGUGGGGUGCUCGAGUGGCGAACGGGUGAGUAACACGUGAGUAACCUGCCCUUGACUUUGGGAUAACUUCAGGAAACUGGGGCUAAUACCGGAUAGGAGCUCCUGCUGCAUGGUGGGGGUUGGAAAGUUUCGGCGGUUGGGGAUGGACUCGCGGCUUAUCAGCUUGUUGGUGGGGUAGUGGCUUACCAAGGCUUUGACGGGUAGCCGGCCUGAGAGGGUGACCGGCCACAUUGGGACUGAGAUACGGCCCAGACUCCUACGGGGGGCAGCAGUGGGGAAUAUUGCACAAUGGGCGGAAGCCUGAUGCAGCAACGCCGCGUGCGGGAUGACGGCCUUCGGGUUGUAAACCGCUUUCGCCUGUGACGAAGCGUGAGUGACGGUAAUGGGGAAAGAAGCACCGGCUAACUACGU